rnacentral:lncRNA from 1 species
CAUGGUACUCUUAUUUUGUCUUUUUAAAUUCAGAACAUUUUCUAGAUGUGGUACUUUGAACCUUGGAGUAUUUACACGUGUUUCUAUUUAAAACUGUGACUUAUUAAUGUAAGUCUAGCUAGCCAUGCUAUUUUUGUUUCCCUGAGCAUAAGCUAUAUUUCAAGACACAGUUUGCCACUUAUGUUACUGCUCACUGGGGGUGUUCAGUGGGAAGACUUCCACACAGAGACUGGGGGACCCAGCGUCUUCCAUUUUGUGGCCUCAUCAUUUUUGGGGUCUCGGACUCCUCUUUGUGAGCCUCUGCAUCCUUCUACAGUUGGAGGAAGAGCCAGGGCGAGCUAGAGCCCGUGGGAGGACCAGGCCUGGAAGUGUCACCUAAUCCAGCUCUGCCCUCGUCUUGCUGUUCAGAACUCACGCUGGCCGCACUGCACUGGGAGCAGGAAUCAGGCAAAGAGUCUCAGAAGAGUCUGCUGAUCUCUCAAAAGUGACAAUGGGGAGAAGGAUGUCAGACACUCCUCGAUCAACCCUAGUCCUUGGAUAACGGGGGUCCCUUCAGGACUGAACGAGGGCUCUGGAAGGAGCAAACAGGUAAUAGAAGCUCCUGUUUUCAGCUGGUACAUGUCUGGACACACGUCUGGGCACGUGUCUGCCUGGAAUAAAGACCAUAUUUCCCAGCCUCCUUUGCAGCUAAGUAAGAUCAUCGGGGAGUUUCCGCUUUCGUGUUCUCCACUCAAGCAAUUAGCCCGGCGCCGCGGGAAUAAUCCAAGAUGAGAGUCCCAUCUCAAGAAUCCAUGUGGAAUCCAACACUGGGAGACAAUGCUGCGAGCGAAGGAAGGAAGACAAAAAGCUAAAGGAGCAGCCCUGCCCGUCGUUCCAAUUCUCCAGAAGUUCCUGAGAACGUAUGAGAAGCACUGUGCACAGACUCGGACGUCCGUGUGCCUGGCCGUCAAGAGGGACCUGAAAGCUGGCAUUGACAAUGGACAGAUUCUCAGGAAGUUUAUACUUGUAAGACCUGAUGACUCCCCGCCAAGCAUCCCACCGAUUUCCUUGGAACCUUUGCUUAUGACAAUUCGAGAAGAGUGUUACACGCUGGGGAAAGAGAUCUGCAUCUGGGGCCUUCAACUGAGCAACCCAGAGAUUGCCAGACUCUUGAACUUCCAUUAUUGCGAGUGAGAAGUCAUAUAUAAGGACUUUACUUCUGGAAAGGGCAAAUAGAUCAUUCAGACCAACCCUUUCACUGAGGACAACAAGAUAAGCUGAAAUACACAGUAUGAGAGAUAAAGAAGCUUGACUCUACCUCACAUCAUACCCCAGAAUCAAUUCCAAGUGGAUUGUAAAUUCCAAAGGCAAUACACUAAAGUUUCUGGAAGAUAAUAUAGGAAAAUAUCAUCAUGACUUUGGGUGGAGAAAAACUUCUCAAACAGGAC